rnacentral:lncRNA from 1 species
GGGUGCUCCAAGGAGUCGGAGGAACGCGGCCGCGCGACGGGCCCCGGACGCCGAGGGUGGUGCUUCCUCCGAGCCUCCGGUGGUGAGGCCGCUCUCAGAAGGUCAUGGAAGCGCAGGGGAGAGCGAGGCGGCCGAGCCCAGGCAAAUCCUCGAGAAAGGCCGAGUGCGCGACGGCUCUGCGGGGAGGACCGCGCCUCCCCGAAUGCGGCCGCUGCUGCCGCUGCAAACAGUGCCUUGAGGAGAGGAAAGCGGGGAACCGUGUUUUCGCCGCCUCUGUAACCACUGCACACAAGAAAACCAGCUUCUGGGAGAGGGGGAUGAUUGUUGGGACUUUGCGAAUUACCUAAACAGCCCAGGGCCGAGGCGCCGCCGCUCGCGUCCUGGUCCUCCUGCCGGGUGUGGGGCUCCCCUGCCCGAGAUGGCCAGCGGGCGCGCCGAGAGUAUCCUGGAGCCAUCUAGUCUUGCCUCGGAGGCGGGGUGGGCUUAUUUGUGCGGAGAAGAAACGGAUCUCUUAAUGGGGUGAGAUUUUUCCUCCGUACAUUGUUCCCAUUUCCGCAGUUUCACUUGGCCUCGGUUUUCUAGCAGAGUAAUCACCAAAUGAAAUUAGCUGGAGAGCGUUUGAUGGCGCAGAAUCACGGUCUGAAGAUGUUUACGCUGUAUGCCGGACGCGUUUGAUGGUGUUCUCUUCGGCACAAUUAAUUUUGCAAAGUUCAGAAAUGUGCCAGACAGAGCCCCUGGCACGCAGUCAGGACUCUACAGACACACCUUGAGUAGGAAACAGGCUUGUUUGUUUCAUCUGUGAUUUAUGUGAUGCACCAGCACCAAGGCCAACGUGUUUUUUAAAGACCUUUCGAUGAAACUCCAAAGCAAUUUAUAAAUUGGCAAAAUGAAGCUUGUUUUGUAAAAUAACUCUUCCUUGUUGAUCAUGUAAUUAAAUGGGCAACAAAACACCUGAAAGGACAUUUACUGAAAAGUAGACUCCCAAAACAAAAAUAUGUAUUUCACAGCUAGAUACGGUCGCUAUUAGCGUCCUAAUGGCCAACUCCAUCCAUGUGCGUAUUUUGAACACUAAAAACGCCUCCUGUUACCCCUAAGACCUUGUUUGGAUAACAUUUUUCUAUUAUAAGUACUCGAAACCAACCCCAUUUAAGAUGUUUACCCUUAUUCUUGAGUCCUUGAUGGUUUGGGAAAUUUAUCAUUAUUCAUAUUGCACAAUCCUGUCACUGUCUUUUCCAUUAGGCACAGUGCCUAAGGUCCACAAUAUUUUUAGAGGCCCACAAAAAAUAUUUUAAUUUCUUUUCAAAUCAGAAGGAAAAAAAAUUUAGGUUUAAGAAAGUAUUUUAAUAUAUAUUAAUAUAUUUGUUUUUGUGCUAAUACAAUCUUAAAAUGUAUGUAUAUAUGUGUGUGUGUAUAUGUAUAUAUAUUUUAAUGGAGUAAGGGGCUCAACGAAGGCAAAAAGGCCUAGAGCCCAAGAAAAACAUGAUGUGGCCCUGUUGCCUGGGGUUGAAAAAUCCCAUUCCAUGAGAAGAAUUUAGUUUUAAGAAUAUUACAUAAAAUGCUCAUUUCUGUGGCCUUGCUAUAAUAGAAAGAUGGAGAUUCAGAGUAGUGAUAAUGGCUAACAUCCACCUGAUACACACCAUGUGUCCAUUACCUCUUAAUCCUCACAGCACACCUGUGAAAUAGGUACUAUUCUCACACUUAGGGGGUAAUGCAGGUUUUGUGGGGCCUGCAAUUUAUGCAAUUUGGGUGGUCCUCUUAAAGAAAAAGCAAAUACUGUGUAUUAGUCCGUUCUCACACUGCUAUAAAGAACUGCGCGAGACUGGGUAAUUUAUAAAGGAAAGAGGUUUAAUUGACUCACAGUUCCACAUGGCUGGGGAGACCUCAGGAAACUUAACAAUCGUGGUGGAAGGAGAAGCAAGUACCUUCUUCACAAGGAAGCGGAAAGAAUUGUGAGCGGAGGAACUUGCCAAACACAAAACCGUCAGAUCGCGUGAGAAUUCAGUUACUAUCACGAGAACAACACGGGAAAACUGUCCCCAUAAUCAAGUCAUUUCUCUCCCUAACAAGUGAGGAUUACAAUUCAAGAUGAGGUUUGGGUAGGAACACAAAGCCUGACCCUAUCCCACAGCAUGUCCAGGCUGCCCUAGCACCACCCAAUAGAAGGGAAAAUGGCAGAGGGAAAGUCCUAGUGGAAAGAGACCUCAGUCUCAGCUAAUUGUGGUGACAAUAUAUUGCUUUUGCAAAUUGUACAUAAACAUAUGACCAGGUGAAUGUAUCGCCAAGGCUCCUGCCAAGGCCUGGGAUGGAGGCCUAGAGAAGAUGCCCGAAAGUUUAUGCUGUGUGAGCUUCACAGAAGACCUGCCUUCCAUGUAUACCCAUUUUACAGACGGAGUUUCGCUCUUGUUGCCCAGGCUGGAGUACAAUGGCGCAGUCUCGGCUCACUGCAGCCCCCACCUCCCGGGUUCAAGUGAUUCUCCUGCCUCAGCCUCCCAAGUAGCUGGGACUUCAGGCAUGCACUGCCAUGCCUGGCUAAUUUUGUAUUUUUAGUAGAGACAGGGUUUCUCCAUGUUAGGCUGGUCUCGAACUCCAGACCUCAGGUGAUCCCCCACACCUCGGCAUCCCAAAGUGCUGGGAUUACAGGCGUGAGCCACUGCUCCCAGCCCCAUUGUUGAUUUUUAAAACUUAGUGUUCAACAAAUAUUUAUUGAGUACUUAAUACAUAUGCAUGCUAAGGAAACAACAGUGAGUGAGACAAAGCCCUUUGUCUUAUGAAGACUCUGAUGAAGCUUACGUAUUAAGACUCUCAAAACAUGGUCAGAAUGUCCUUGAUUAGCCUGAGUUGCCAAAAAAGAAAAGAAAAAAAGAAACUAUUUUAAAAUUAAUUUUUAUUGCUUUCUGUCUUUCAUUUUUUCUUCCUAUCAUAGCACUAGAUGAAGUUUUAGAUAUAAGCUUAAAAGCCUGAGUAUUUGAUUUCUCAAUGACCGAAGGUUAAUUACAGCUCAUAAAAAUAUUAGAAUUAACAUAUAAUAUUCAGCCUAAAAGAUAUAGGAAAUAUAUUGUUCCUUUGAUUUUAAAUCCCUUUCAGUGGCUCAAAGUUAAAAUAAAGUUUGCAGACGUAUCAGUUGGUUUAAAAUCAAUAUUUUCUUCAUUUUAGGCAUUUUCUAUUUGCCAUUCAAGGGAGAGGAAAACAUUAAGAAUCUUUUUUCCCCCAGCCACUAACACAGCAAUAGAUCUACAUAUAAAUUGUUAGUUCCCUUCUUUUGUAUUAAUAUCUCUAUACUCUUGUUCACUAUUUUCCAAAGGCAUUGAGAAGUUAAUCAGAAGUUUAUGAAAAAGGAGACUUUCUAAUCACAGAAGGUUGGAUAACACUGAGUUAAACAGCUUUAUAAGUCACAGGCCUUUUUAGAACCCUUAGUUCAUUGUGGAUCCUCAAUUAUAACAUAAUGUAAUGUAAUAAUAUAAUAUAUGGGAGGACGCUUCCCAACAGUCAUCCCUUUUCCUGGUAACAAUAUCUUGAUUGUCCUUUAGGGAACCUAUUCCUCAUUCUUAGUCCCUGAGUUCUGGUGAAUCUGUCCCCCAUUCCUGGCUUUAGAAAUGUUCAUAUGACAAGUGAUUCAUUGGUAAGUGUUAAAAACCAAUUCUAAAAAAAAAGAAGAAAAUCCUUGAUUUGUAGCAUUUGACAUUUUCCAUGGUGUAAAUACUUUUACCAUGGCCAACUUUAAGCUACCAAGGUGAAAUCACUAAACAUGGAGUUGGGAAGAGAGGCACAUCAUCAGCUCCUGGGAACCUGCAGCGCACAGUGUCAGAGAUGACCCAGUCUAAGUGAAUCAGACCAUUUAUCCCUCUGGGCCUAGGACUCAAGCCAGACCAGCUCCUUAGGUCCAAUUCCUUUGAUUUUUUUAAAGAACUGUUGUGGAAGAGGCACCAUCUUUCACUGCGUUCGUUGAAAGGAAGGAAUUGGAACCAAUUCUGGUGAUCUACUUUCCAUGUGGUCUGUUUGGAAAGAGCCUGGCUGAGAAUGCAGACCCUCAGAGAAGUGACUAGCAGAGCUGAGAGAUGGAGACAGACCAAAUUCUGGGAUCACUGUUGGAGUCCUUGGAUCUUGUCCAGCCUGAACCUCUGGACAUUGCUGUUACAUGAGCCAAUAAAUCCCCUUCGUUUCUCUGUCUCUCAUUCUGUUUCUCUUCAUCUCCCUCUUAUCCAUUAUUUGUUUAUUAAUUUUUCUUUUAUUAAAGCUGUUUGGUUUUUAUUUC